UCUCCGUAGGUGAACCUGCGGAGGGAUCAUUACAGAGUUCUCGCCCUCGCGGGUAGAUCUCCCACCCACUGUUAUCGUUACUGUGUUGCUUUGGCGGGCCGCCGGGCCCCGCUCGGCCGCCGGCUCCGGCUGGCGCGCGCCCGCCAGAGGCCCAGCAAACUCUGAAUGUUAGUGUCGUCUGAGUACUAUAUAAUAGUUAAAACUUUCAACAACGGAUCUCUUGGUUUUG
rnacentral:misc_RNA from 1 species